CAGUCGGUGGAAGUCCGACCGGGGCUAAGAGACUCAAGCCCUGUAGCUUGGGAGGCGCCGUGGCGCGAGAGCAAGGCGGUGGAGCCCUCCGACAACAUUCUCAGAAAGGAGGAUGCGCAACGCACCAGGUUGCAACGUGC
rfam:Nitrococcus mobilis Nb-231 1099646003876, whole genome shotgun sequence.